rfam:Nematostella vectensis strain CH2 x CH6 NEMVEscaffold_586_Cont30470, whole genome shotgun sequence.
GUUUCCGUAGUGUAGUGGUUAUCACGUCUGCUUUACACACAGAAGGUCCCCAGUUCGAGCCUAGGCGGAAACG